CAGACAAUCAGCAGAUUCUUUAGAGCAGAACUAAUGGAUGGGCUGGUCCCGGUGCCAAGCGGUCACUGACAGAAGGUACAGAGCCCACCGGCAUUGGGUCACAGCGAGACAUUUGGCCACACACCCAAACAGAGAGGAUUUCCAGCAUCUAGAGUCGUAAGUUUACAAAGCCGUAAGAACCGUGAAGAUUCCGGAAAGAAUGCCCCCAGGAUGUCACAGCUAGCUUACAGCAGUGUUUCUCACAUGGUCAGAAAUACAUUUGACCUGGUGACCAGUGAGUGUGAGUGUAACAUAAACAUACACAAGGUUAAUAGAUACAUCUGUGUAAUUGAAACGGGAAUGUCAUGAUACAAUGUUACCCUUUCCAAAUGCUAUGUUGUUUUCCUUUCUAUUGUUGUUUUGUUAAAGCUGUUUUUGACCCACGAAAUUGGUCUAUGACCCACUAAAGAGUCACAACCUGUAAUUUGAAAAGUACCAUACACAUAAGCAAAAACUCCUUGUGCUACCUCAUACUGAACCAUCUAACUCACUUUUAAUUAUGUAGUAAAAUUUUCUGAAACUAA